AACGCGAAGAACCUUACCAAGGUUUGACAUGGCCGGAAAACUCGCAGAGAUGCGGGGUCCUUCGGGGCCGGUCACAGGUGGUGCAUGGCUGUCGUCAGCUCGUGUCGUGAGAUGUUGGGUUAAGUCCCGCAACGAGCGCAACCCUCGUCCCAUGUUGCCAGCAUUCAGUUGGGGACUCAUGGGAGACUGCCGGGGUCAACUCGGAGGAAGGUGGGGAUGACGUCAAGUCAUCAUGCCCCUUAUGUCUUGGGCUGCAAACAUGCUACAAUGGCCGGUACAAAGCGCUGCGACAUCGUGAGAUGAAGCGAAUCGCAUAAAGCCGGUCUCAGUUCGGAUCGGGGUCUGCAACCCGGCCCCGUGAAGCCGGAGUCGCUAGUAAUCGCGGAUCAGCAACGCCGCGGUGAAUACGUUCCCGGGCCUUGUA
rnacentral:rRNA from 1 species